GUUUAUUGUUACAGUAAAUAGCAAUCAGUUGGCACUAUGGCUAGCAGUUUCAGAGAAGAUAUGUUGGUAGGCACUGUGGUGUAAGGAGUCAAAAUGGGAGCAAAUUCAAUAGCAGCCAUCCAUCCAGUUCAUCUUGCCAGGUGGAGGGAUUCUAGAUGCUGGCCGUGGAAUGCUACUGCCUCUUCCUUGCGAUACUACUCUGGUCGCUCCUGUAUUGCCGCCUCGUGACCUCACGACCGGCGGCCUCAGUCCUGACAUGCCUCGACCGUGUCCUCCCCGAGCUGAUUCCGCAGGCUUCCCUACAGUCUAGAUGCACAAAGUGCCAUGUCAGAAAGUGUAAGAUGAUACGCACAUGAAGAAAGAUAUCUUUUUUGAGCAUAUUUUUAUAAACAUUCUAGUGAAGUGAUUCAAAUGUCCUGUCCUUAUUGCAAAUGAUGCUGUAAUACCACACCAUGUCUUCUCCCUAAACUCAACACAAAUUCAAUUAAAAUAUUAAUGGUCUAAAUGCAUUGGUAAAGCAAUAACAAAAGAAAACAGAUGCUUGUUUUACUUUUGUACAAAAUAUACUCUUACAGGCUGUUGUCAGUGAUGUAAAUCUCUGUAAUAUAAUCAGUCAUCCUUAGAAUUCAAACUUUAAACUCCAGACAAGAUUAAUUACAUGAGAAAUUGCAUCAUUUCAUUCACAGUAAAAAUUCACUUUUCUUUACAUGCUUCCUGAUACAGUAGGAUUUUAUGGUUGAACAACAUGCUUUCUAUUUAUUAUACAAGUUACAGUAAGCAUUAUUCAUUACUAAAUUAUGGGUUUGGGCUCAUACCUACAGAUUUUAAGAACUGAGGUGUGAUAAACAUUUUUUUUUUUUUUUUUUUUUU